rnacentral:rRNA from 1 species
UGGGGAAUAUUGCACAAUGGGGGAAACCCUGAUGCAGCGACGCCGCGUGAACGAAGAAGGUAUUCGUAUCGUAAAGUUCUGUCCUAUGGGAAGAUAAUGACAGUACCAUAGAAGAAAGCUCCGGCUAAAUACGUGCCAGCAGCCGCGGUAAUACGUAUGGAGCGAGCGUUGUCCGGAAUUAUUGGGCGUAAAGGGUACGCAGGCGGUUUAAUAAGUCGAAUGUUAAAGAUCGGGGCUCAACCCCGCAAAGCAUUGGAAACUGAUAAACUUGAGUAGUGGAGAGGAAAGUGGAAUUCCUAGUGUAGUGGUGAAAUACGUAGAUAUUAGGAGGAAUACCAGUAGCGAAGGCGAGUUUCUGGACACAAACUGACGCUGAGGUACGAAAGCGUGGGGAGCAAACAGG